AGUCGAGCGGAUGAUAACANCUUGCUCUUCGAUUCAGCGGCGGACGGGUGAGUAAUGCCUACGAAUCUGCCUGGUANUGGGGGACAACNUUUCGAAAGGAACGCUAAUACCGCAUACGUCCUACGGGAGAAANCAGGGGACCUUCGGGCCUUGCGCUAUCANAUGANCCUAGGUCNGAUUAGCUANUUGGUGAGGUA
rnacentral:rRNA from 1 species